GGGGGAUUCAAUAGCGUGACACGAGCUCAUCUUAUGGAUAAGGUAAUUGAAUCUGAAGCAACCCAUCCUCAAAUGGCUGGCACAAAAGGAUCUUCCUGUGCAGUACCGGGGUGUGAUGCAAAAGUUAUGAGUGAUGAACGUGGUAACGACAUUCUCCCCUGUGAGUGCGAUUUCAAGAUAUGUCGAGACUGCUAUGUGGAUGCAGUUAAAUCAGGGAAUGCGAUCUGCCCUGGUUGUAAGGAGCCAUAUAAGAACACAGAUAUGGAUGAAAUAACUGUUGAACAUGGGCGCCCACUGCCACUUCCUCCCACACGCACAAUGUCAAAGGGUGAGAGA
rnacentral:misc_RNA from 1 species